GUAGAAACCCCAGGCCGAGCUGAGGACAGUGACAGAGGGAAUUAUGGCUUCUGCAGAGGAAUCAAAUGACUGCAAUUAAUACUACAUAACUUAGUGCUGUAAUGCACUUGGUGGAUUCUUUGGAAUGACUAGCUCAAAUUUCUCUACAAGUUCAUCACACAGAUGGCAUUAUGUUAUGGCAAUAUGAUUUUCCAUACAUUUGUUUGCGUAAGGAUGUUUCCUAUGGGAUAUAAUCACAGUUUUCUGCUCGGUCAACAUGUAUUUGUCUACUGUCAACUUUCUGAAAUUGAGUGGCUUUGGUGGAAAGAGUUAAACAAAACAGGUACAGUACCAAGAGAAUUUUUAG